UAAAGCUGGGAGCAGUGAAACAGAGGAAGGGCUUAUGGUGGAAGAAGCACCAGGAGAGAGAUUAGGCAGUGCUCUGCUUUGGCUCCCUGGAAAUGUUCUGGAAAGGAGUGAGCCACACAGGGCUGCAUGGAGUCACUGAGAAGUAGAAGUCACAGUGACAGAAGUGAGUCGAGGUGGGGCGGCUGCUUUGGCUCACUGAAAAGUCAGAGAAAAGGGGACAUUGGAGGUAUUUCUUGUUGAAUUACUCAUCCUAGAGCUCAAAUUCCAUAUUAUGUCCCAUGCAGAGUUGAUCACUUCCUUCAAUAUGCCAUGAAACUACCUGAAAAGUUUAAUGUCUUUAAAUCCAGAAGGCAAGUGCUGGUCAAGCAACGACCAGUAUGUGGAGAACGUGCUGAGCUUGCACGGGGCCAGGGCAGCAUGAGGCUGCGGCAGAGGUGCCCGGUCUCAGGAGAGCACGAUUGUCCACCGGGCUCAGAGUGUGUCAGGAGCUGCUGAUGGUUCAGACAUUUUGUAUCUGUUUAUCCAUGUGCCCCCAUCGGCCUUCCAUCUCCCGAGCUGAAAAUGCCCUUUUCUCCAUCACGGCAAUUUCACAGCGAGCUUUCUCCUACCGGCUGGCACACCCCGCUGUUAGAGCACUCUCUGCCGUAGCCACCGCACCGGGUCCUCUGCCCGGAUGCAGCACCUUCACGUCUGCCCCCACUCUCCUCCUCUGAAGCCAUAGGUAGGUACGAAAUCCAAAAAUUUUGAAAUGAUUCUUGAAUGUAGUGACCAUCGUCAUUUUAUGACCUGGAAAUGUUUGAGGAAUAAUGUAAUUCUUCAGAACUGGAGGUUAAUGGUGUUGGACUUUUCCUGUGUUCCUUCCCAUCCUCACAUCAGCUGCUUCAUCACUCUUUAUUUAUAUUAUUGCGAGAGCCUCUGAUCAGAGCAGCCCACCUCCCUUCCCGCCCCCGGCAGUCCUUCCUCCUUUGGGCGGCCAAAGCAAUCUUCCUAAUCCACGUUCAGCUCCUGGCAUGUCCGUGCACGGCCCUCCCCUGGCUCCCGCUGCGUGUGGAAGACCAUCCUGAGAACCCUUUAGACCAAUCCGGCACACCCCCAACAUUCGUAGGACUGGAAUAAGAGUACAAAUAAGAUCUCUGGCUCACGCUUCUUUCCUUUGCACAGAAUCCAGAGCCAUUCAGGCAGUAGAAUUCCCUUCCAGCCCCUGAGCUGUCUUGCCAGCACCGCUGCUGGUCGCGGGCAUCCCCACAAGGGCCCAGUGAACACCUGUGUGAACACCCAGCCUAUAAUCAAGUAUGUCCAUAACCUUCCAGCCUCCACCUAACUCUGCCAUCCUUGAAUCAUAAAGGCUACUAUUGUUUUCCCCUUUAUGAGUUGGAAUAUUAUAUAAAGAAGAACCUUUCUAUUUUGUUUAUAUUAAAGUACAGUUUGUAUAGAAUUGGCAAAAUGAAUA